GUGCUUACUUCAGCAGCAUAUGGACUAAGAUCCGAAUGAUACAGAGAUUAGCAGGGCUUCUGCAUAAGAAUGACACACAAGUUUGUGACUUGUUUUAUAUUUUU